rnacentral:misc_RNA from 1 species
GCGGCCGUAUUGCAGUACCGCGGCC